rnacentral:lncRNA from 1 species
CAAAUUAAAUCCUCAUUUUUGGAAGGCAUAUUUGUGGUAAGUUGAUACACCUUUGGCCACAGUCCAAAGCUCUUCUAGUGCUUUUUUCUUGUUGCGAUCAUGUCAAGAUCAUGUUCUUUUUUUCUCUUCCUUGCCGCUGCUUUUGGUGUUUAUUGCUUUUGAUUGGGUUUUGCUCACAUUACUGCUUCACGUUGUGUUCCAGGCAAUUGUUUUGCUUAUAAUUUUGAUAUCCGGUCUUUGCUGCAUGAUGGGAAUCGACACUCCUACAAGGUUUGAAGCCCCUACAGAUUCGUAAUCAUUAGAUCUUCUGCAAGAUAAAUUCAUAUUCUGAGGCGCUAUCUUCUGCAAGAUAAAUUCAUAUUCUGAGGUGCUCUGAUUGCAGUAAUGGGCUUGUAUCUUUAUUGCUAUGCAUAACCCUGUAGUUUUUGUUUAUUUCUCAAGCAACGUUCCCUUGUAUUGGCAGUGUAGAGAGUGUGACGUUCAAUAAUGUUAUGGCCAUUCCUCUUAUUUUUUGGUUAGAUAUCAUCUUGUAUGUAUUGAGUUUCAGCUGCCUGCCCCUAGUUUACUGUUUGCCCCAUUGUAAUAAAGACUUGAGAUGCUUUGUUAUCAAAGAAAGCACGAGCCUUGAUAUUGUAGCUUUCUCUCAAACUUAAACAUCUGAAAGGUUGAUGUCGUUGCAUAGUUUUAUGCCAUUUCAAUCUUAAACGGCACCCAAAGAGCUUUCUUCAGUGUUAAAGACACGUCAGUUUGAUCUCUGCCACUGACAGAAAGGCGAGUAUUCAAGUGGGAGAUGAUAGAGCGCCCCAAUCGCGAGUUGGAGGCUGCAAACCAAAUACUUCGUACUAAUUGAUUAUAGAAAACUCUCUACAUUGCCACUUAGCCUCAACUGAUAUACCAAUAGCAGGAUACAAAAUGCGUUGUGGUGGUGACGGAAUAUGUGGACUACCUCACUGUGUUGGUAAAGAGGGUGGAAAUGACACCAUGUAGCCACUUUUACGUAUGUUGUUUAAAAUAUAUUGACAGUUUACAAUCUAUUUAAAAAUUAGUCAAUUUAGCUCAAAUUUCAGGACAUCGCGUCCUAAAUUUCGAAAAUUGUGUCCAGAAGUUCGAAUCUUAUGUCCUAAAUUUAGAAAUUCGGGACACUUAUGCUUGAAU